rnacentral:misc_RNA from 1 species
CACCCCUCAAGCCCUGCUUGGUGUUGGGCGACGUCCGCCUCCGCGGCGGACGCGCCUCGAAGAACUCGGCGGCCCCAGGUCGGCUCCGGGCGUAGCAAAAGCGAACCGCCCUCGGAGACCGCCUGGCGGCCUGCCGCGAGAAUGACAGCAACUUUUCGCAA